rnacentral:rRNA from 1 species
GAUGAACGCUGGCGGCGUGCCUAAUACAUGCAAGUCGAGCGAACAGAUAAGGAGCUUGCUCCUUUGACGUUAGCGGCGGACGGGUAGUAACACGUGGGUAACCUACCUAUAAGACUGGAAUAACUCCGGGAAACCGGGGCUAAUGCCGGAUAACAUUUAGAACCGCAUGGUUCUAAAGUGAAAGAUGGUUUUGCUAUCACUUAUAGAUGGACCCGCGCCGUAUUAGCUAGUUGGUAAGGUAACGGCUUACCAAGGCAACGAUACGUAGCCGACCUGAGAGGGUGAUCGGCCACACUGGAACUGAGACACGGUCCAGACUCCUACGGGAGGCAGCAGUAGGGAAUCUUCCGCAAAGGGCGAAAGCCUGACGGAGCAACGCCGCGUGAGUGAUGAAGGUCUUCGGAUCGUAAAACUCUGUUAUUAGGGAAGAACAAAUGUGUAAGUAACUGUGCACGUCUUGACGGUACCUAAUCAGAAAGCCACGGCUAGCUACGUG